UACGUAGGUGGCAAGCGUUGUUCGGAAUUAUUGGGCGUAAAGGGCGCGUAGGCGGUGCGGUAAGUCUAUCGUGAAAUCUCCCGGCUCAACUGGGAGGGUGCGGUGGAGACUGCCGGACUUGAGGCACUCAGAGGCCGGUGGAAUUCCCGGUGUAGUGGUGAAAUGCGUAGAGAUCGGGAGGAACACCAGUGGCGAAGGCGGCCGGCUGGGGGUGACCUGACGCUGAGGCGCGAAAGCGUGGGGAGCAAACCGG
rnacentral:rRNA from 1 species